rnacentral:rRNA from 1 species
ACGGGAGGCAGCAGUGGGGAAUAUUGCACAAUGGGGGAAACCCUGAUGCAGCGACGCCGCGUGAGUGAUGAAGUAUUUCGGUAUGUAAAGCUCUAUCAGCAGGGAAGAUAAUGACGGUACCUGACUAAGAAGCUCCGGCUAAAUACGUGCCAGCAGCCGCGGUAGUACGUAUGGAGCAAGCGUUAUCCGGAUUUACUGGGUGUAAAGGGAGCGCAGGCGGUCUGGCAAGUCUGAUGUGAAAACCCGGGGCUCAACCCCGGGACUGCAUUGGAAACUGUCAGACUAGAGUGUCGGAGGGGUAAGUGGAAUUCCUAGUGUAGCGGUGAAAUGCGUAGAUAUUAGGAGGAACACCAGUGGCGAAGGCGGCUUACUGGACGACAACUGACGCUGAGGCUCGAAAGCGUGGGGAGCAAACAGGAUUAGAUACCCUGGUA